rnacentral:rRNA from 1 species
GAUGAACGCUGGCGGCGUGCCUAAUACAUGCAAGUCGAACGGACAGACGAUGAGCUUGCUGCUCUCACGAUUGCCGCACGCGUGUGUAUCACACGUGUAUCCCCUCCCUAUCUUACUGAGAUCACUAGGAAACUCCGGCUAUUAUCGCAUAUGAUCUCUUGCUCCGCGGUGGUCGAUGGAAAGUUUCGGUGUUUGUGUCUCUUCUCGCUGGAUCCCGGCCUGAUUAGCUAGUUGGUACGGUCACAGCUUACCACGGCGACGAGGCGUAUCCGACCUGAGAGGGUGAUCGGCCACACUGGAACUGAGACACGGUCCAGACUCCUACGGGAGGCAGCAGUAGGGAAUCGGCCGCAAUGGGCGAAAGCCUGACGGAGCAACGCCGCGUGAGUGAUGAAGGCCCUCGGAUCGGAAAACUCGGUUAUGAGGUAAGAACAAAUGUGUAAGUAACCAUGCACGUCUUGACGGUACUGAAUCAGAAAGCCACGGCUAACUACGUG